AUUGAACGCUGGCGGCAUGCCUUACACAUGCAAGUCGAACGGUAACAGGUCUUCGGAUGCUGACGAGUGGCGAACGGGUGAGUAAUGCAUCGGAACGUGCCCAGUCGUGGGGGAUAACGCAGCGAAAGCUGCGCUAAUACCGCAUACGAUCUAUGGAUGAAAGCGGGGGACCGUAAGGCCUCGCGCGAUUGGAGUGGCCGAUGUCAGAUUAGGUAGUUGGUGGGGUAAAGGCUCACCAAGCCGACGAUCUGUAGCUGGUCUGAGAGGACGACCAGCCACACUGGGACUGAGACACGGCCCAGACUCCUACGGGAGGCAGCAGUGGGGAAUUUUGGACAAUGGGCGCAAGCCUGAUCCAGCAAUGCCGCGUGCAGGAAGAAGGCCUUCGGGUUGUAAACUGCUUUUGUACGGAACGAAAAGGCUCUGGUUAAUACCUGGGGCUCAUGACGGUACCGUAAGAAUAAGCACCGGCUAACUACGUGCCAGCAGCCGCCGUAACAC
rnacentral:rRNA from 1 species